rfam:Daphnia pulex DAPPTscaffold_256_Cont7912, whole genome shotgun sequence.
GGCUCAUUGGUCUAGUGGUAUGAUUCUGGCUUUGGGUGUAAGAGGCCCCGGGUUUAAAUCCCGGAUAAGCCC